GCCUUGGUAGAUCAGUAGGCAGAUUAUCCCAGCCCAGUGAAUCACCUUGCCUCGCGACGAUUAUACGGGAAGGCGGAGGUUUGAAUCCUCCCCGAGGCA